UACGUAGGGUCCGAGCGUUGUCCGGAAUUAUUGGGCGUAAAGAGCUCGUAGGCGGUUUGUUGCGUCGGCUGUGAAAUCCCGAGGCUCAACCUCGGGUCUGCAUUCGAUACGGGCUAGCUAGAGUGUGGUAGGGGAGAUCGGAAUUCCUGGUGUAGCGGUGAAAUGCGCAGAUAUCAGGAGGAACACCGGUGGCGAAGGCGGUUCUCUGGGCAUGAUCUGACGCUGAGGAGCGAAAGUGUGGGGGAGCGAACAGG
rnacentral:rRNA from 1 species